AUGCCGAAAUAUACGGAGAAGAAACUCCAGUUGCCACGUCCCCGAACGUCUCCACCCAGUCCUGCCUGCUGUUUCGCCCUCAGUCUGGGCCUCGCACGGCGCGGCGGAGCGCGGGAGGGGCGGGGCGGGCCUGCUGACGUCGCCGGACCUGAACUGCGCAGGCGCGGCGCGAGAUCGCGGGAGCGAGCGCGCGGUAACAGUUCGCGGCAGUUCGCGCGGGAGCGGGGCGCGUGGGUGGUUGGGCGCUUGGGCGCCUGGGCUGCCGGACGGUGGGAACGGAAGUCGCUGUGGGACGCUGAGGAAACCAGGAUGGCGACUCCGAGCAAGAAGACGUCAACUCCAAGCCCCCAGCCUUCCAAGAGAGCUCUCCCGAGAGACCCUUCGUCGGAGGUCCCGAGCAAGAGGAAGAAUUCGGCCCCGCAGCUGCCGCUGUUGCAGUCGUCCGGGCCUUUCGUGGAAGGCUCUAUCGUCCGCAUCUCGAUGGAGAACUUCCUAACAUAUGAUAUUUGUGAAGUAUCUCCUGGACCCCACUUGAAUAUGAUCGUUGGAGCCAAUGGAACAGGGAAGUCGAGCAUUGUGUGUGCCAUUUGCCUUGGUUUAGCUGGAAAACCUGCUUUCAUGGGACGAGCGGAUAAGGUUGGGUUUUUUGUGAAGAGAGGAUGUUCUAGAGGCAUGGUUGAAAUUGAAUUGUUCAGGGCUUCUGGAAAUCUUGUAAUCACCCGUGAGAUUGAUGUGGCAAAAAAUCAGUCCUUUUGGUUCAUCAACAAAAAAUCUACAACCCAGAAAAUAGUGGAAGAGAAAGUUGCAGCCUUAAAUAUUCAAGUGGGGAAUCUUUGCCAGUUUCUCCCUCAGGACAAAGUUGGAGAAUUUGCUAAACUCAGCAAAAUUGAACUCCUCGAAGCCACUGAAAAGUCAAUUGGUCCCCCAGAAAUGCACAAAUAUCACUGUGAACUCAAAAACUUCAGGGAGAAAGAAAAACAGCUCGAGACCUCAUGCAAAGAGAAAACUGAGUAUCUACAGAAAAUGGUUCAGAGGAAUGAAAGAUAUAAACAAGAUGUGGAGAGGUUCUAUGAACGGAAGCGACAUUUAGAUUUAAUUGAGAUGCUUGAAGCAAAAAGGCCAUGGGUGGAAUAUGAAAAUGUUCGUCAGGAAUAUGAAGAAGUAAAACUAGUUCGUGACCGAGUGAAGGAAGAGGUCAGAAAACUUAAAGAAGGGCAGAUUCCUAUAACACGUCGAAUUGAAGAAAUGGAAAACGAGCGUCACAAUUUGGAGGCUCGAAUCAAAGAAAAGGCAACAGAUAUUAAGGAGGCAUCUCAAAAAUGCAAACAGAAGCAAGAUGUUAUAGAAAGGAAAGAUAAACAUAUUGAGGAACUUCAGCAGGCUUUAAUAGUAAAGCAAAAUGAAGAGCUUGACCGACAGAGGAGAAUAGGUAAUACCCGCAAAAUGAUAGAGGAUUUGCAAAAUGAACUAAAGACCACGGAAAACUGCGAGAAUCUUCAGCCCCAGAUUGAUGCCAUUACAAAUGAUCUGAGACGGAUUCAGGAUGAAAAGGCAUUAUGUGAAGGCGAAAUAAUUGAUAAGCGAAGAGAGAGGGAAACUCUAGAGAAGGAGAAAAAGAGUGUGGACGAUCAUAUUGUACGUUUUGACAAUCUUAUGAAUCAGAAGGAAGAUAAGCUAAGACAGAGAUUCCGUGACACGUAUGAUGCUGUUUUAUGGCUAAGAAAUAACAGAGACAAAUUUAAACAAAGAGUCUGUGAGCCCAUAAUGCUCACGAUCAAUAUGAAAGAUAAUAAAAAUGCCAAAUAUAUUGAAAAUCAUAUUCCAUCAAAUGACUUAAGAGCCUUUGUAUUUGAAAGUCAAGAAGAUAUGGAGGUUUUCCUCAAAGAGGUUCGUGACAAUAAAAAAUUAAGAGUAAAUGCUGUUAUUGCUCCCAAGAGUUCAUAUGCAGACAAAGCACCUUCAAGAUCUUUGAAUGAACUUAAACAAUACGGAUUUUUCUCUUAUUUGAGAGAAUUAUUUGAUGCACCUGAUCCUGUAAUGAGUUACCUUUGCUGUCAGUAUCAUAUUCAUGAAGUUCCUGUAGGAACUGAAAAGACCAGAGAAAGAAUUGAACGGGUAAUACAAGAAACCCGAUUAAAACAGAUUUAUACAGCAGAAGAAAAGUAUGUGGUGAAAACUUCUUUUUAUUCAAACAAAGUUAUUUCUAGUAACACAUCUCUAAAAGUAGCGCAGUUUCUCACUGUCACUGUGGACCUAGAGCAGAGAAGACACUUAGAAGAACAGCUAAAGGAAAUUCAUAGAAAAUUGCAAACAGUGGAUUCAGGGUUGAUUGCCUUACGUGAAACAAGCAAACAUCUGGAGCACAAAGACAAUGAACUUAGACAAAAGAAGAAGGAGCUUCUUGAGAGAAAAACCAAGAAAAGACAACUGGAACAAAAAAUCAGUUCCAAACUAGGAAGUUUAAAGCUGAUGGAACAGGAUACUUGCAAUCUUGAAGAGGAAGAGCGAAAAGCAAGUACCAAAAUCAAAGAAAUAAAUGUUCAAAAAGCAAAACUUGUUACCGAAUUAACAAACCUAAUAAAGAUUUGUACUUCUUUGCAUAUACAAAAAGUAGAUUUAAUUCUCCAAAAUACUACAGUGAUCUCUGAGAAAAACAAAUUAGAAUCAGAUUAUAUGGCCGCAUCUUCACAACUCCGUCUUACAGAGCAACAUUUCAUUGAAUUGGAUGAAAAUAGACAGAGAUUAUUGCAGAAAUGCAAAGAACUUAUGAAAAGAGCGAGGCAAGUAUGUAACCUGGGUGCAGAGCAGACUCUUCCUCAAGAAUACCAGACAAUUCUGGACCCAUUCUACCAAUUCAGCAAGUACCCACCAUUCCAAAUGGACACAACUCCUCACUCCCCAUGGUUUUCCAAGACCUUCCAAACACAUUGGAUGAAAUUGAUGCUUUAUUAACUGAAGAAAGAUCAAGAGCUUCCUGCUUCACGGGACUGAAUCCUACAAUUGUUCAGGAAUAUACAAAAAGAGAAGAAGAAAUAGAACAGUUAACUGAGGAACUAAAGGGAAAGAAAGUUGAACUAGAUCAAUACAGGGAAAACAUUUCACAGGUAAAAGAAAGGUGGCUUAAUCCUUUAAAAGAGCUGGUAGAAAAAAUUAAUGAAAAAUUCAGCAAUUUUUUUAGUUCCAUGCAGUGUGCUGGUGAAGUUGAUCUCCAUACAGAAAAUGAGGAAGAUUAUGAUAAAUAUGGAAUUCGAAUUAGAGUCAAAUUUCGAAGUAGUACUCAACUGCAUGAAUUAACUCCUCAUCAUCAAAGUGGAGGUGAAAGAAGUGUUUCUACCAUGUUAUACUUGAUGGCACUUCAGGAGCUAAAUAGAUGUCCAUUCAGAGUAGUUGAUGAAAUCAAUCAGGGAAUGGACCCAAUCAAUGAACGGAGAGUGUUUGAAAUGGUUGUAAAUACUGCCUGUAAAGAAAAUACAUCUCAAUACUUUUUCAUAACACCAAAGCUCCUGCAAAAUCUUCCUUAUUCUGAAAAGAUGACAGUUUUGUUUGUCUACAAUGGCCCUCAUAUGCUGGAACCAAACAGAUGGAAUUUAAAGGCUUUCCAAAGGCGGCGGCGCCGUAUUACAUUCACUCAACCUUCUUAAUAAAAGUAAAGAGAGGGAACUUGGGAAUUUUUUUUGUUAAAUUCUGUUUAUAAGUAUGGCUCAACUGAAUAAAAGGAGAUUCACUAAAACGAAAAGCAGUUAUUUUUGGAAACCUGCUUUUAAAUACAAAUAGGUUGAUAAUGGAAACUAUAAUGACCUUUCCAAAAUAGCAGCUGGUAGUAAAAGUUAAGUCUUCUUCAGUCUUGGUUGAACUUGAGUUCUUGGCACUCUGACCAUGAGUCAUUCAGUUCUCAUGUUAAAAUGUACUUAAUAUUACAAAUCAAAGGUACAGUGGAAGAGGGGUUAAUCACAAGAAGUUACUUAUAUGGUAGCCCUGAGCUUUAAUUGCAGAGUAACUUUAAUUACUUUUAGAGCCUAAAGAUGACUCUAGAGCCUAAGUCCUAGUUUCUCCCAAUGUUAUAUUUAAUUUUUAAAAAUUGAUAUGAAAAUGUCUAAUGUAUAGUAAUAAUUUAUGACAGAUCUAGUCAUUUCUUCCUAUUAAAAAAGAUUACCUUAUCUCCAGUAGGAAAUGGAAUUUUAUGGGCCUUUAAAAGAAAGUUUUAUGAAACUUGAUGCUAUAAUUUUAUUGGUAUUUCAAGGGGAAAAAAGCACUGGGGUUCAAAAAUGGUAGCAGAACUGCUUUGAAAUGCUGCAAGGUGGCCACUAGAUGAUGCAAAAUACAACCAAAAGAUUGACUGAGAAUAAAAUUAGGUGACAAGGGUUUUUAAAGAAUAACCUUUUAAAGUGUGGGGGCAGGGGUUGCUUUUUUUUAUUUUAUUUAAAGUCAAUUAUAUUUUACAUCUUACAUUUCUAAAAGCAUUUUUAUAAUUAUUUUUAGUAAGAUUUUUCUUAAAAUUUCAUAUACUGGUUUCUACAAUUUAUAUUUGAAAUUUCUCAGUGUUAUGUAAAGAGUGAUGGAAAAGCAUUGAUUUCUUUAAAACCGUAAUGUUUUUAGAACUUAAGCCUAUAGGGCCUUUCUUAAAAUGUUGAUGUACCCAUUAUCUUAGAAAAUCUAGUUUAAACUGUUUUCUUUCACCGCAAAAGAAUUAAAUGGGAAAAUCAUUUGUUUAUCUCUAAGUUAUACUAAUUAGUAGAACCAAACAAAUUAUCUUCUUUUAAAAAAUAAAUCUUAUAGGAAAAUAGACAGUCCAAAGUCAUGUCUUUGAACAGUGGAUUGGAUCUGUGCCAGUAAUGACAAAAUUAUUUUUUUGACUUGCUUGCCUGAAUAAAUUGAAGAAUUGCUUUCAGUUUGGGUUUUGUAUAUUCUUAAGUAGCCAUUGAAAUUUAUAUUCUUAACUAGGUCAAAAAAUAAUGAACCAUAAGUUUAUGUCCUCUCACUUAGACAUUUUCUCUUUAAAAAGGUGUUUUCUUCUUUAUAAACAUUUUAAAAGAGCCUUCCCUUCUUAAACUAACUCCAGUGCAUGAAGUAUGAAAAUAUUUUAAAAUGACAUUUUUACUAAUAUGAGCAAGUCAUGUAAACAUUGAAGAACUUGGUAACAUAUUAGUAAAUGGAUAUUACCAAAUGUUUUCAUCGUUAAUUACUUUGCGUUACACCAAAAUAUCUUUACUAAAAUGUGCUUGGUGUAGUUUGUUUAUUGUCUAAAUUAGUACCAGUCAUCUUAUUUCUGCAAAGUGAGUAUCAAUGUGAAAAAGACACGUGAAGAUUAAGCAUGUUUGAAAAUAAAAUGGUCAAUUACAUUUCAAUUUACAUAGGCCAACAACUGUUCCAUACUUUGUUUGUAAACAUUUAAUUUCUUUACUGGACAAAAUUAAUAUUUGGCUUUACAUUGAAUUUUGAGCUGUGAAGAAUAAAUUAUGUAUCAUUUUAGCAUAUUAAACAGUAGUAAGUCUAGCACAUAGUCUCAGCCACUUAAAACUUUAUUUUCUGCAAAAGUUUUUUUGUUUGUUUGUUUGUUUGAGAUGGAGUCUCACUCUGUUGCCCAGGCUGGAGUGCAGUGGCGUGAUCUCGGCUUACUGCAACCUCCGCCUCCCGGGUUCAAGCGAUUCUCCUGCCUCAGCCUCCCAAGUAACUGGGACAACAGGCACGUCCCACCACACCCAGCUAAUUUUUUAUACUUUUAGUAGAGAUAGGGUUUCAGCAUAUUGGCCAGGCUGGUCUCGAACUCCUGACCUUGUGAUCCACCCGCCUCGGCCUCCCAAAGUGCUGGGAUUAUAGGCGUGAGCCCCUGUGCCCGGCCAAAAGUUGAUUUUUAAUUACAUAAAAAUCGUAAAAACUUUUAGUAAAAACUUGAUUUGGUGAAUACAGUUAUAUUUAAAAACCUUAAGGUGACAAGCAUUUUCUAUGCCUAAAUCUUCAUUGGUUUGCCUGGAAAGAGUCUCUGUUAAAAGAUUUUCCAUAUUCAAAGUAAAAGGAAAGAUAUCUUGCUUUCUAAUUGUCUUUUGGACACUUGCCUAUUUUCUUUGAGGUAUAAACCUUUAGAUGUGAAAAAUGUAAUUUCAUUCUGCUAUUGUGUGUGCUUGUGUGUGUGUAAUUGAAAAAAACUGGGAAAUCCUGCUUUGUUGGUAAUAAAUCAAUAUUUUCAUAUUC